rnacentral:rRNA from 1 species
GACGAAGGUGGCGAGCGUUGUUCGGAAUCACUGGGCAUAAAGCGCACGUAGGCGGCGACGUAAGUUGGGUGUGAAAUCCCUCGGCCUAACCGAGGAACUGCGCCCAGUACUGCGUUGCUUGAGGAUCAAAGGGGUGCAUGGAAUUCCCGGUGGAGCGGUGAAAUGCGUUGAUAUCGGGAGGAACUCCGGCGGCGAAAGCGGUGCACUGGUUGAUUUCUGACGCUGAGGUGCGAAAGCCAGGGGAGCAAACGGG